rnacentral:rRNA from 1 species
GAUGAACGCUGGCGGCGUGCUUAACACAUGCAAGUCGAACGGAAAGGCCCAAGCUUGCUUGGGUACUCGAGUGGCGAACGGGUGAGUAACACGUGGGUGAUCUGCCCUGCACUUCGGGAUAAGCCUUGGAAACUGGGUCUAAUACCGGAUAGGACCACUUCUUGGAUGUUGUGGUGGAAAGUUUUUUCGGUGUGGGAUGAGCUCGCGGCCUAUCAGCUUGUUGGUGGGGUAAUGGCCUACCAAGGCGUCGACGGGUAGCCGGCCUGAGAGGGUGUACGGCCACAUUGGGACUGAGAUACGGCCCAGACUCCUACGGGAGGCAGCAAUGGGGAAUAUUGCACAAUGGGCGCAAGCCUGAUGCAGCGACGCCGCGUGGGGGAUGACGGCCUUCGGGUUGUAAACUCCUUUCGCUAGGGACGAAGCGUUUUUGUGACGGUACCUGGAGAAGAAGCACCGGCUAACUACGUG